rnacentral:lncRNA from 1 species
UCACUUAAUGAUGUUGUUCUUCAUAAUUGAUGAGAAUAAGAAAUAAAUAUAUGAUGGUCACAUAUCUUAGGACAAGUAAGGUAUUAGGUCCUGAAUAUAUGGAUAUUCAAAGAUUAAUAAUAUCUCGAUCCAGAGAUUGACACUUCAUAUGUGAUAUGAUGUGUUCUCUACAAUGCUUCACAAAUCUUUUUAUCUCAUUUUGAAAAAUAUCCUAAAAAUUAUUAUAUAUGUUAGAUAUCAUCAAAAUC